rnacentral:rRNA from 1 species
AGUGAACGCUGGCGGUAGGCCUAACACAUGCAAGUCGAACGGCAGCACAGUAAGAGCUUGCUCUUACGGGUGGCGAGUGGCGGACGGGUGAGGAAUACAUCGGAAUCUACUUUUUCGUGGGGGAUAACGUAGGGAAACUUACGCUAAUACCGCAUACGACCUACGGGUGAAAGCAGGGGAUCUUCGGACCUUGCGCGAUUGAAUGAGCCGAUGUCGGAUUAGCUAGUUGGCGGGGUAAAGGCCCACCAAGGCGACGAUCCGUAGCUGGUCUGAGAGGAUGAUCAGCCACCCUGGAACUGAGACACGGUCCAGACUCCUACGGGAGGCAGCAGUGGGGAAUAUUGGACAAUGGGCGCAAGCCUUAUCCAGCCAUACCGCGUGGGUGAAGAAGGCCUUCGGGUUUUAAAGCCCUUUUGUUGGGAAAGAAAAGCAGCAGGUUAAUACCCCGCUGUUCUGACGGUACCCAAAGAAUAAGCACCGGCUAACUUCGUG